rnacentral:rRNA from 1 species
AUGGGCAUGGACUGCCUCCACCAGCGGCUCGGCCGCACGCGUGCUCUGCCGUUCGUGAGGAGGUUCAAGCCGAGCGAGAUCGAGGCGGCCACCAGCGGCUUCAGCACGGCCCUCGAGACCGGCGGGCCUCGCGGCACGGCGUACCGCGCCCGCUUCGCUGAUGGCCUCGUCGCCACGGUGCGCCGUGCGGGCGGCGGCGACCCGGACCAGGCAGGGCAGGAGGGCGCCUUCUACCGGGAGCUGCAGCUGCUCGGCCGCCUCAACCACCGACACGUUGUCAGGCUCCGCGGCUUCUCAGAAGGACACAACAGGUUUCUGGUGUUUGAUCAGAUGGAGAACAGGAGCCUGAAAGAAUGCCUCCACGAUCCUCUUAGGACGCCACUCAACUGGAGGACCCGGUUGCAGGUUGCCAUAGAUGUCGCAGCAGCCCUGGAGUAUCUCUACUACUUCUGCGACCCUCCGGUGUUCCACGUGACGGUGACCUCCAACAACGUGAUGAUGGAUGCUGAUUUCGUCGCCAAGUUUCAGCUAUCGGACGUCAGUGUCGUCGGUCACGACUCUUCCGAAGGAUCCCACGCCGAAGAGCGAAUUCAGCAGAGGCGGACGGAGCUGGUGUUCCAGUACGGCGUGUUGCUCCUGGAGCUCGUGACCGGACAGUCGCCCGGGGGCGGCGACGGCGAGCUCGUGCGGUGGGUGCAGGAGCCAGGGUUCGCCGGAUCCAUGCAGAGGAUGGUGGACGCGGAUCUCGGGGGCACCUACGACGCCGGCGAGCUCCGGGACCUCGUGAUAGUCGCGAGGCUCUGCACUAGGCCUGGCAGCGGCACCGCCGUUGUCUCGAUCCCACAGGUACUCCGCUACUUGCAGGGGAAGGUGGGUGACAAAAACAGAUGA